UUCCGACCGUCAUGUGCAGACCACUCACCUUACUUCAUGUUCUCAUAAGUUAGCCACCAUAAAUGCUUAGUGUCGCUGCAACCUAAACACUUAACCUUCCAUACCUAAUAACUUGAUUAGUUCUGGUAUCAUAGUCGCAAGAUUGUUGCAUCCUUGUGGGUCACAGUUUAUUACAACCCCAUAGGUCCAGGUACAUCAGAUCUAGAGGCUUUUGAUGCUACGCAGUUGAAGUGGGAGUUCGAUAAAGCCAGUGGGUGCAUGUACGUGACGUACCGCGAUGAUUAUGGGCCCUUGUUCGUCUCCUAGGCAUAGCAAGGCAGAUCAUUGCAAUUCUAUCGUUUAUCUUAUCUGUAGUCGGACCCUGCCUUUUCGGAUGAUUUGAAAUAAAUUGUUGAGUGAAUUGUAACUUAACUUGUGGCGAGUGUAAGAUAUUCCAUAUAAUCAUCA
rnacentral:lncRNA from 1 species